rnacentral:rRNA from 1 species
UAGGCAAGGCAGCAGGCGCGCAAAUUACCCACUCCCGGCACGGGGAGGUAGUGACGAAAAAUAACGAUACGGGACUCAUCCGAGGCCCCGUAAUCGGAAUGAGUACACUUUAAAUCCUUUAACAAGGAUCAAUUGGAGGGCAAGUCUGGUGCCAGCAGCCGCGGUAAUUCCAGCUCCAAUAGCGUAUAUUAAAGUUGUUGCGGUUAAAAAGCUCGUAGUUGAAUCUGUGUGCCACGCUGACGGUUCUCCGCUCGCGGCGAAACUGAUCAGACUGUGGCACGUCCUACCGGUGGGCUUAGCUCCUUCGCGGGAGCGGUCCAAAAUGAAUCCCAUCGCGGUGCUCUUUACUGAGUGCCGAGGUGGGCCGGUACGUNUACUUUGAACAAAUUAGAGUGCUUAAAGCAGGNUACCAGUACGCCUGAAUAUUCCUGUGCAUGGAAUAAUGGAAAAGGACCUCGGUUGCUAUUUUGUUGGUUUUCGGAAGAGCGAGGUAAUGAUUAAUAGGGACAGCUUG